GAGUUUGAUCAUGGCUCAGAUUGAACGCUGGCGGCAUGCCUUACACAUGCAAGUCGAACGGGGUGGAGGGGCAACCUUCCAUUCAGUGGCGAACGGGUGAGUAAUGCAUCGGAACGUGUCCGGGAGUGGGGGAUAACGCCGCGAAAGCGGCGCUAAUACCGCAUAUGCUCUUUGGAGGAAAGCGGGGGACCCGAGAGGGCCUCGUGCUUGCGGAGCGGCUGAUGUCCGAUUAGGUAGUUGGUGGGGUAACGGCCUACCAAGCCUGCGAUCGGUAGCUGGUCUGAGAGGAUGAUCAGCCACACUGGGACUGAGACACGGCCCAGACUCCUACGGGAGGCAGCAGUGGGGAAUUUUGGACAAUGGGGGCAACCCUGAUCCAGCCAUGCCGCGUGCGGGAAGAAGGCCUUCGGGUUGUAAACCGCUUUUAGCCGGGAAGAAAGGGCAGGGGCCAAUACCCUCUGUCGUUGACGGUACCGGCGGAAUAAGCACCGGCUAACUACGUGCCAGCAGCCGCGGUACGCC
rnacentral:rRNA from 1 species